rnacentral:rRNA from 1 species
CGUAGGUGGCAAGCGUUGUCCGGAUUUAUUGGGUUUAAAGGGUGCGUAGGCGGUUCCAUAAGUCAGUGGUGAAAUACAAUAGCUUAACUAUUGAGGUGCCAUUGAUACUGCGGAACUUGAGUACAGACGAGGUAGGCGGAAUUGACGGUGUAGCGGUGAAAUGCUUAGAUAUCGUCAAGAACACCGAUAGCGAAGGCAGCUUACUAGACUGUAACUGACGCUGAGGCACGAAAGUGUGGGGAUCAAACAGGAUUAGAUACCCUGGUAGUCCGCACUGUAAACGAUGAUUACUCGAUGUUGGCGAUACACAGCCAGCGUCUUAGCAAAAGCGAUAAGUAAUCCACCUGGGGAGUACGCCGGCAACGGUG